GCCGGCAUAGCUCAGUUGGUAGAGCGGCGCAUUCGUAAUGCGUAGGUCGGGGGUUCAAAUCCCUCUGCCGGCACCA
rnacentral:tRNA from 2 species